AGGAUAGAGGCCUACCAUGGUGGUAACGGGUAACGGGGUGUUAGGGCACGACACCGGAGAGGGAGCCUGAGAAACGGCUACCACAUCCAAGGAUGGCAGCAGGCGCGCAAAUUACCCAAUCCCGACACGGGGAGGUAGUGACAAUAAAUAACAAUACGGGGUUCUUUAGGAUCUCGUAAUUGGAAUGAGUACAAUUUAAAUCUCUUAACGAGGAACAAUUGGAGGGCAAGUCUGGUGCCAGCAGCCGCGGUAAUUCCAGCUCCAAUAGCGUAUAUUAAAGUUGUUGCAGUUAAAAAGCUCGUAGUUGAAUUUCGGGGUUAGUAGGUUGGCCAUGCCUCUGGUAUGUACUGGUCUCACUGAUUCCUCCUUCCUUAUGAACCGUAAUGCCAUUAAUUUGGUGUUGCGGGGAAUUUGGACUGUUACUUUGAAAAAAUUAGAGUGUUUAAAGCAAGCUAACGCUUGAAUACAUUAGCAUGGAAUAAUGAAAUAGGACGUUCGAUCUUAUUUUGUUGGUUUCUAGGAUUGACGUAAUGAUUAAUAGGGAUAGUUGGGGGCAUUAGUAUUCAAUUGUCAGAGGUGAAAUUCUUGGAUUUAUUGAAGACUAACUACUGCGAAAGCAUUUGCCAAGGAUGUUUUCAUUAAUCAAGAACGAAAGUUAGGGGAUCGAAGACGAUCAGAUACCGUCGUAGUCUUAACCAUAAACUAUGCCGACUAGGGAUCGGAUGA
rnacentral:rRNA from 1 species